UACAGAGGUGCCGAGCGUUAGGCGGAAUCACUGGGCUUAAAGCGUGUGUAGGCGGAUCUGUAAGUACCUUGUGAAAUCCCACGGCUCAACCGUGGAACUGCUUGGUAUACUGCGGGUCUUGAGCCACCUAGGGGCAAGUGGAACAAGCGGUGGAGCGGUGAAAUGCGUAGAUAUCGCUUGGAACGCCAAUGGUGAAAACAACUUGCUGGGGGUGUGCUGACGCUGAGACACGAAAGCCAGGGGAGCAAACGGG
rnacentral:rRNA from 1 species